GCCUACGGGGCGCAGCAGUGGGGAAUAUUGGGCAAUGGACGCAAGUCUGACCCAGCAACGCCGCGUGAAGGAAGAAGGCUUUCGGGUUGUAAACUUCUUUUAAGGGGGAAGAGCAGAAGACAGUACCCCUUGAAUAAGCCACGGCUAACUACGUGCCAGCAGCCGCGGUAAUACGUAGGUGGCAAGCGUUGUCCGGAUUUACUGAGUGUAAAGGGCGUGCAGCCGGGAAGACAAGUCAGAUGUGAAAUCCCGCGGCGCCACUGCGCAACUGCAUUUGAAACUGCUUUUCUUGAG
rnacentral:rRNA from 1 species